rnacentral:rRNA from 1 species
GACGAACGCUGGCGGCGUGCUUAACACAUGCAAGUCGAACGGUAAGGCCCUUCGGGGUACACGAGUGGCGAACGGGUGAGUAACACGUGGGUGAUCUGCCCUGCACUUCGGGAUAAGCCUGGGAAACUGGGUCUAAUACCGGAUAGGACCCUGGGAUGCAUGUCCUGGGGUGGAAAGCUUUUGCGGUGUGGGAUGGGCCCGCGGCCUAUCAGUUUGUUGGUGGGGUGAUGGCCUACCAAGGCGACGACGGGUAGCCGGCCUGAGAGGGUGACCGGCCACGCUGGGACUGGGAUACGGCCCAGACUACUACGGGAGGAAGAAGUGGGGAAUAUUGCACAAUGGGCGAAAGCCUGAUGCAGCGGAGCCGCGUGAGGGAUGACGGCCUUCGGGUUGUGAACCUCUUUCAGCACCGACGAAGCGCAAGUGACGGUAGGUGCAGAAGAAGGACCGGCCGACUACGUGCCAGCCGCCGCCGUAA